rnacentral:rRNA from 1 species
CAUUCGAUUGGGCACUCUAAGGUGACUGACCGGCUAAAAGUCGAGGGAGUGGGGAUGACGUCAAAUCAUCAUGCCCCUUAUGACCUGGGCUACACACGUGCUACAAUGGGCGGUACAAAGGGUCGCGAACCCGCGAGGGGGAGCCAAUCCCAAAAAGCCGCUCUCAGUUCGGAUUGCAGGCUGCAACUCGCCUGCAUGAAGCCGGAAUCGCUAGUAAUCGCGGAUCAGCAUGCCGCGGUGAAUACGUUCCCGGGCCUU